GGCUCAGAACGAACGCUGGCAGCGUGGAUUAGGCAUGCAAGUCGAACGGGAAGCCCUCUUUUCAAUUCUUCGGAAGAGUUAAUUGGGUCGAUAGUGGCGGAAGGGUGAGGAACACGUGGGCAACCUGCCCUCUAGUUGGGGACAACCCCGGGAAACUGGGGCUAAUACCGGAUGUGAUCUCCUGGCGCAUGUCAGGAUGAUUAAAGAUGGGGAUCCGCUUCGGCGGACCUGUCGCUAGAGGAGGGGCCCGCGUCCCAUCAGCUUGUUGGUGAGGUAACGGCUCACCAAGGCUUACGGGUAGCUGGUCUGAGAGGAUGGUCAGCCACACUGGGACUGAGACACUGCCCAGACUCCUACGGGAGGCUGCAGUCGAGGAUCAUUGUCAAUGCGCGAAAGCGUGAACAUGCGACGCUGCGUGGAGGAUGACGGCUUUCGGGUUGUAAACUCCUGUCAUUGGGGAACAACAACCCUGUAGUUAAUAUCUACGGGGUCUGAUGGUACCCAAAGAGGAAGCCACGGCUAACUCUGUGCCAGCAGCCGCGGUGAUACAGAGGUGGCGAGCGUUGUUCGGAUUUACUGGGCGUAAAGGGUGCGUAGGCGGUCUUGUGUGUCGGACGUGAAAUCCCAUGGUUCAACCAUGGAAUUGCAUCCGAAACUGCAGGGCUAGAGUGCAGGAGAGGAGAGCGGAAUUCUGGGUGUAGCGGUGAAAUGCGUUGAUAUCCAGAAGAACACCGGUGGCGUAGGCGGCUCUCUGGAAUGUUACUGACGCUGAGGCACGAAAGUUGGGGGAGCAAACAGGAUUAGAUACCCUGGUAGUCCCAACCGUAAACGGUGUGAACUUGGUGUAGGGGGUAUUGACCCCCCCUGUGCCGGAGCUAACGCGUUAAGUUCACCGCCUGGGGAGUACGGCCGCAAGGCUAAAACUCAAAGAAAUUGACGGGGGCCCGCACAAGCGGAGGAGCAUGUGGCUUAAUUCGAUGCAACGCGAAGAACCUUACCAGGGCUUGACAUGCAGCUGCUUCCUCCCUGAAAGGGGAGGGUCCUUCGAGGGUGCUGCACAGGUGCUGCAUGGCUGUCGUCAGUUCGUGCCGUGAGGUGUUGGGUUAAGUCCCGCAACGAACGCAACCCCUGUGGUUAGUUGCCACCGACGGUGAUAAGCCGUCGAGCACUCUAACCAGACUGCCCGUACAAAGCGGGAGGAAGGUGGGGACGACGUCAAGUCAGUAUGGCCCUUACGCCCUGGGCUGCACACGUGCUACAAUGGUCGGUACAGAGGGAUGCUAAGCCGCGAGGCGGCGCAAAUCCCCAAAACCGGCCUCAGUUCGGAUUGGAGUCUGCAACUCGCCUCCAUGAAGUCGGAUUCGCUAGUAACGGCGUAUCAGCUACGGCGCCGUGAAUACGUUCCCGGGCCUUGUACACACCGCCUGUCACAUCAUGAAAGCCGUCUGCACCCGAAGUCGCUGAGCCAACUUUUCACGAAGAGGCAGGUGCCGAAGGUGUGGGUGGUGAUUGGGAUGAAGGCAAAACAAGGUA
rnacentral:rRNA from 1 species